rnacentral:rRNA from 1 species
GCUACGGCCAUAUCAGCCUGGGUACGCCCGAUCUCGUCUGAUCUCAGAAGCUAAGCAGGGUCGGGCCUGGUUAGUACUUGGAUGGGAGACCGCCUGGGUAUACCAGGUGCUGUAAGCA